rnacentral:rRNA from 1 species
ACGGAAGGCAGCAGUGAGGAAUAUUGGUCAAUGGGCGGAAGCCUGAACCAGCCAAGUCGCGUGAAGGAUGAAGGUAUUAUGUAUUGUAAACUUCUUUAGCAGCAGAGUAAUAAGAGGGUCGUGACCUCCGAUGCAAGUAUGCUGAAAAUAAGGAUCGGCUAACUCCGUGCCAGCAGCCGCGGUAAUACGGAGGAUCCGAGCGUUAUCCGGAUUUAUUGGGUUUAAAGGGUGCGCAGGCGGUUUUUUAAUUCAGUGGUUAAACCGUGAGGCUCAACCUCAUCACGCCAUUGAUACUGGAAGACUUGAUUGCGGUUGAGGUUGGCGGAAUUCGUCGUGUAGCGGUGAAAUGCAUAGAUAUGACGAAGAACACCGAUUGCGUAGGCAGCUGACCAAGCCGUAAAUGACGCUCAUGCACGAAAGUGCGGGGAUCGAACAGGAUUAGAUACCCUGGUA